UAAGGGUUGGCAGUGAAGGCAAAUGUAUCUUGUUGGAGACCCUCUUGUGUGCUUGGGCCUUCUGUAGCUUUAUUGCUGAGACCACGGUGAAAUUACUCCAAGAUAAAAUUUCAGACUCUUCAAGCCAAUGACCUGAUAGAAAUGGGACUUCCUGAAAUGAAGUCAUCAAGGCUGUCCACAUCUGUGAUAACAUCUGGAGACUGUGCGUGCCUGCAAAUACAUGCAGCUUCUUCACGGGAGACUGUACACUGAUGUUAAUUGAGAAAGGAAAGCUUGGUGGGCCAGUUGGGAUGCUACACCAUAGAAAUUGUGAAUGCACCUCACUGUGGUUGAUGCUUCAGCUAUGAGCCUCUCAAGAUUUUUCUUGAAGAUUAAAGAGAUGUUCCAGAAAGCAAUUCAGCCCCUUACAGAUCUAAAGCUGCUUGGCCAUGAAUUUUUCUUCUGACUGCAGAGGAAAUCUAAAUGUGUACAUUAGUGUUUAAAUUUAGGAUUGUACUUUUAAUUCGCUUCCUAUCCGUUUCCUCAUGUUUUGGCUUGUACUGAACAGCCUUGGAGUGGUUUCGAGUGCACGUUACCUGCUGUGAUGGUAUCUGCAGAAGGCCAUGAUUACGCUGCCUUCAGCGAUGGAUUAGUUAUUUAUCUUUUCCUAUGACUUCUGAAAUAUCACCAAACCAUCACCUGGCUUGUAACUGUACUUUUUGAGCAAAGCCCUCUCAUGCUUGCAGAAUUCAACAUUUCAUGUUGGGUUCUGAUAUGUGUACUUGGAAGUUGUUGCCUGUAUUUCCUCUGUCCUACAUUCUGUCUCAGUGUUUCAAAACAGACAGUGCACCCACCAAACAGCCAAACUGGAGUAUUUUCUGCAGAUAUCUUUGGGAUUUUCAAGAGAUGAAUACAGGUUUAUUCAUACAGUUGAGUCUGGGUAUAUUUCUGGGUUGGAAUUCACGAAAAUAUUGCUGCUGUGGAAAUUUUAGAAAAUUAUUAAAGCCCCUUCUCUAGGGAUUACACUAACUAUGGUCAGUGGAUUUGAGUUAUAGUUUAUCAUAGUCAGAUCUAAUAUAGGAGUUUGCUCUUGGGGUAAACAUGCAUCAAUCUAGUUGCCACUGAGUAGGCACACAAAGUACAUAAACAAGA